AACGAACGCUGGCGGCAUGCCUAACACAUGCAAGUCGAACGGGAUCCGGACUUCGGUUCGGUGAGAGUGGCGGACGGGUGAGUAACGCGUGGGAACCUGCCCAGUGGUGGGGGAUAACUGCGGGAAACUGCAGCUAAUACCGCAUGAGCCCGAGAGGGGAAAGAUUUAUCGCCAUUGGAGGGGCCCGCGUUCGAUUAGGUAGUUGGUGAGGUAAUGGCUCACCAAGCCGACGAUCGAAGCUGGUCUGAGAGGAUGAUCAGCCACACUGGGACUGAGAUACGGCCCAGACUCCUACGGGAGGCAGCAGUGGGGAAUAUUGGACAAUGGGGGCGAACCCUGAUCCAGCAAUGCCGCG
rnacentral:rRNA from 1 species